CUUCCCCACUCUUUCUCCUCCUCCGCCGCCGCCCCCAUCGGCUUGGCCCUCUCUAGUUCCCGACUUCCUGCCCUGCCCGCGCCGCGUCACCGUAUCCUCCUUCUCCGCUGCACCGCCGCAGUCCUUCUCCUGCCCCUCCACUGGAACCAACCGAAGAACGCCUGGAAGUGGAGGAAAUCCCCGUCUGCCUCUCUACUGGAUCUGGAUCGGCUCCCGUGACUCUUCCUCCCUCUGUUGGUGGAUCUCUAUCUUUGUGGCCUUUUGUGCUGAUCCGGCAUGGAGGUCAAACCUGACGUCGGUUUGUCUUAGCGGAGCGGCCGUGUGGUGGCCGGUCUACGGCAUGGCUCAUUGGAGGCAGCAGCGACUGCGGCAUCGCAGUUUCCUUCCCCGUCCACGAGUGUAGGUUAGUCGGUGGUUUUGGAGCAAAAUUGUACGCCCCGAAAGAAAUAUCUACACACGGGAGAAAAAAAGAAAAUGGCGCACAUACUGGAACACGGCGGUCUAGCCAACCUCUGGCCUCCGCUUCUUCCUCCCCGACGGUGUUGUGGAACCAACGGUGGGUUCAGCUACCCUCGACCGUGGCCUAACACGCACGGACUGAAGAUAAGUUAUUCUAUCUCUUCCUUAAAGUGAGAUCGUUUGCUUCUCUGAUCCAGUUCUAGUAAUUUGUACAAGGCCUUAGCUUGUUGUCAGGGAGGAACUUUCAUCUCAUUGCUGAAACUUGGGUAAACUGUGGGCAUACAAAAUACAUCUUUGUUUUUGUUGCCUUACAAACAUGGCUGUGAACAAACCGAAUGUUGGCAAACAAUUGUAUAUCCAUUUUCACUUAUUAUGAUAUUUCUGAAAGUGAAAGGGACUAAGGAUAGCACAGAGAGCAGAGAGCACACGGGUUAUGUUGGAAAAAUUGGUCGAAGUUACAAUGCAUUAGCUAGCAUAAAUAUAGCACAACUAGCAUGCCUAGAUGCACACAACGUUGAUGGUAAGGUAUGCUUGACAACUACCUAAUAGGAUCAGAUUAUUCAUUUUGUAAAUGUAAAAAAGAUAGUAUUGUCUUCACAACGUCCACCACUGAAUAUCUCUGUGUAUUUCUAGACCUUGAUUUGAUAUUAAAAAAACAAUCCAGUUUAUCUUCUCGCUUAUGUCCUGGAAGGUUUCAGGAUCUGUAUCUAUAUUCGUGAUUGCUACUGCAUGUGUUCUGACUCGGCUUGUACCUUCAUUAAAAUGAAGUAAUACUUAAGCUAUGUAUGAGUCUGAUCCGUGCAAGACUUGUUCCUACUGCUGCCACCUUGUAUAAAUAUAUACUGGUUCGUGCAAGACUUGCUCCUACUUCAAAUUUUUAGUCUGAACGUACCUAUAUAUACGUGCAUCAGACUAAAUUUGUAGUCUGAUUCGUGAAGUAGGAGCAACGGUUGUUCCUACUGCUGCCACCAUGUAUAAAUAUAUACUGGUUAAUUUCAUUUAACUAUUUUUUUCUGUCACAAAUAAUAGUACUAUGCUGGUCAAGUGGGGAACGUAUAGAAUCGUCUUGCACAGAAGUAACACGGAUAAUAUAAUCAAUGGGUUUUUGAUAGAAAAGCAUUUCUGUAUAUCCUGAAUGAAUAUAAACGAUGCAUGAUUAUUUCAAGUUGCACUUUCCUAUCUAUUAUCUCAUUGUUUAUCAAGUAUUUUCAUGUUUCAUAGUCCACUACAUUAUAAUGGGUUUAUAUGGCCUCAGCUACUGCUGCUAUAGUACUUGGAGUUCUGUGAUGUGUGUUUCGUCACUUUGUCAUUUGACACACCUUUCUUUGGCUUAAUUUUAAGCAACCUCAUGUUUACUCUUGUUUUAUAGUAGAUACAAUGUUAUUCUCAUUUGUAGGCACUAUAAGAUUUAAGAAUUCUGGACAUGUAAUUCAUUUUUAUAUUUGUUGCAAUUUUCUUAUUUCUACUAUCUAUUCAUAUGUGCAAAUAUCUAAUAUUCUUGUUAAUAUGCUAGGUAAGAUUGGAUACUGUGCUACUUGGUGCUGCCCAUCACAAUCAGCUACGGCAUGAUCGUUGCCAUCAAGAACGUCGAUGGCAAGAGCUUGAAUAACAGCCUCGAUAGUUUAUAUGUUCUGUUGAUGUAAAAUGGAUUGUACUGGUUCAUAACUCUGCUGUGUGAUAUAUUUUGUCAAUCUAUGUUGUAUGUCAUCACUUUGUAGAGGAUUUUUUAAACUGCUAUGUUGUAGAUACAUACAGAUGGCUGUGUUAAACUUUGUAAUGUUUCACACCUUGCAAAUAUUUUUUGUUGGGAAAA